UCGUUGCUACUGAUGGCCAACGAAUAAAGACGAUGGGACGCUGCCUCGGGGCUUGCCCCAGGCAAUCCAUUUGUGAAACCUUCUCGAUGUUCGUAUGCUAGAGGAAGCAA
rnacentral:rRNA from 1 species